ensembl:lncRNA
AGACUGUGUGAGGGGAGGAGGUGUGUAGUUAGACUGUGUGAUGGGGAGGAGGUGUGUAGUUUGACUGUGAGGGGAGGAAGUGUGUAGUUUGACUGUGUGAGGGGAGGAGGUGUAGUUAGACUGUGUGAGGGUAGGAGGUGUGUAGUUAGACUGUGUGAUGGGGAGGAGGUGUGUAGUUUGACUGUGAGGGGAGGAGGUGUGCAGUUCGACUGUGUGAGGGGAGGAGGUGUAGUUAGACUGUGUGAGGGGACGAGGUGUGUAGUUCGACUGUGUGAGGGGAGGAGGUGUGUAGUUCGACUGUGAGGGGAGGAGGUGUAGUUAGACUGUGUGAGGGGAGGAGGUGUGUAGUUCGACUGUGUGAGGGGACGAGGUGUGUAGUUUGACUGUGUGAGGGGAGGAGGUGUAGUUAGACUGUGUGAGGGGAGGAGGUGUGUAGUUCGACUGUGUGAGGGGAGGAGGUGUAGUUAGACUGUGUGAGGGGAGGAGGUGUGUAGUUAGACUGUGUGAGGGGACGAGGUGUGUAGUUCGACUGUGUGAGGGGAGGAGGUGUGUAGUUCGACUGUGUGAGGGGAGGAGGUGUAGUUAGACUGUGUGAGGGGACGAGGUGUGUAGUUCGACUGUGU